rnacentral:rRNA from 1 species
GCGGGUGACCACGUACCUUUUGUAUAAUGGGUCAGCGACUUAGUGUGACGAGCAAGCUUAAACCGGUAGGUGUAGGCGCAGCGAAAGCGAGUCUGAACAGGGCGUUCAGUUCGUCGCAUUAGACCCGAAACCGAGUGAUCUAGCCAUGAGCAGGCUGAAGGUAAGGUAACACUUACUGGAGGGCCGAACCCAUAACUGUUGCAAUAGUUCGGGAUGACUUGUGGUUAGGGGUGAAAGGCCAAUCAAACUCGGAAAUAGCUGGUUCUCCGCGAAAUCUAUUUAGGGUAGAGCGUCGACCGAAUACCUCAGGGGGUAGAGCACUGGAUGGGCUAGGGGUCCUCACCGGAUUACCAAACCUAACCAAACUCCGAAUACCUGGGAGUACUAGUCGGCAGACACACGGCGGGUGCUAACGUCCGUCGUGAAAAGGGAAACAACCCUGACCUACAGCUAAGGUCCCCAAGUUAUGGCUAAGUGGGAAAGGAUGUGAGGAUCCCAUAACAACCAGGAUGUUGGCUUAGAAGCAGCCAUCAUUUAAAGAAAGCGUAACAGCUCACUGGUCUAAAUAAGGGUCUUUGCGCCGAAAAUGUAACGGGGCUAAAGCCAUACACCGAAGCUUAGGGUUCGUGAGCAAUCACGAGCGGUAGCGGAGCGUUCUGUAAGCCGAUGAAGCCGUACCCGUGAGGGGCGGUGGAGGUAUCAGAAGUGCGAAUGCUGACAUGAGUAACGUAAGGGGAGUGAGAGACUCCCCCGCCGAAAGACCAAGGGUUCCUGCUUAAAGUUAAUCUGAGCAGGGUUAGCCGGCCCCUAAGACGAGGCGGAAACGCGUAGUCGAUGGGAAUCACGUUAAUAUUCGUGAGCCUGGAGGUAGUGACGGAUCACACAAGUUGUCCAAUCUUAUCGGAUUGAGAGGGCAGCGGAGUGGUUCCAGGAAAUAGCUCCUCCUUAUAGACCGUACCCGAAACCGACACUGGUGGUCUGGUAGAGUAUACCAAGGCGCUUGAGAGAACUAUGCUGAAGGAACUCGGCAAAUUGCACGCGUAACUUCGGAAGAAGCGUGACCCUUUUCUGCGCAAGCAGGGGAGGGUGGCACAGACCAGGGGGUAGCGACUGUUUAUCAAAAACACAGGGCUCUGCGAAGUCGCAAGACGACGUAUAGGGUCUGACGCCUGCCCGGUGCUGGAAGGUUAAGAGGAGGAGUGCAAGCUCUGAAUUGAAGCCCCAGUAAACGGCGGCCGUAACAAUAACGGUCCUAAGGUAGCGAAAUUCCUUGUCGGGUAAGUUCCGACCUGCACGAAUGGUGUAACGAUCUGGACACUGUCUCGGCCACGAGCUCGGUGAAAUUGAAGCAUCGGUGAAGAUACCGAUUACCCGCCACGGGACGGAAAGACCCCGUGAACCUUUACUAUAGCUUUGCAUUGGGCUUGGGUACAGGAUGUGUAGGAUAGGUGGGAGGCUUUGAAGCCCGGACGCUAGUCCGGGUGGAGCCGCCGUUGAAAUACCACCCUUCCUGUACUUAGGUCCUAACCCGGAGACGGGGACAUUGCAUGGUGGGUAGUUUGACUGGGGUGGUCGCCUCCCAAAGUGUAACGGAGGCUCGCAAAGGUACCCUCAGUACCGUUGGUAACGGUACGCAGAGCGCAUGAGUACAAGGGUGCUUGACUGGGAGAGCGACGGCUCGAUCAGGUGCGAAAGCAGGCUCAAGUGAUCCGGUGGUUCCGCAUGGAAGGGCCAUCGCUCAAAGGAUAAAAGGUACUCCGGGGAUAACAGGCUGAU